AAUGAACGCUGGCGGCAUGCCUUACACAUGCAAGUCGAACGGCAGCAUGACCUAGCUUGCUAGGUUGAUGGCGAGUGGCGAACGGGUGAGUAAUGCAUCGGAACGUGCCUUUUAGUGGGGGAUAACGUAGCGAAAGUUACGCUAAUACCGCAUAUUCUCUGAGGAGGAAAGCAGGGGACCUUCGGGCCUUGCGCUAGAAGAGCGGCCGAUGUCGGAUUAGCUAGUUGGUGAGGUAAAGGCUCACCAAGGCAACGAUCCGUAGCGGGUCUGAGAGGAUGAUCCGCCACACUGGGACUGAGACACGGCCCAGACUCCUACGGGAGGCAGCAGUGGGGAAUUUUGGACAAUGGGCGCAAGCCUGAUCCAGCCAUGCCGCGUGAGUGAAGAAGGCCUUCGGGUUGUAAAGCUCUUUCGGCUGGGAAGAAAUCGCACCCUCUAAUACAGGGUGUGGAUGACGGUACCAGCAUAAUAAGCACCGGCUAACUACGUG
rnacentral:rRNA from 1 species